UUUUUUUUUUUUUUUUUUUUUUUUUUUUUUUUUUUUUUUUUUGAGAUUUGACAAAACCACCGCUGCAAGUCUGAAAAUC
rnacentral:ribozyme from 1 species